rnacentral:rRNA from 1 species
AUGCAAGGACCAUGCGAGCAAGAUGCGAUGCGUUGCAUGUUACCCUCUCUUGCAAGAGGGUUGCAAUUGGGGGUUGGGUUGGGACCUCUCUUGCAAGAGGGUUGCGCACCACCUUCUCUCUACCUCGCCGUGAGCGUGAGGACCCACCCUAGAGCUGUUCUAGUGUGGCCUUGUCCCUCCCUCCCUCCUCCCAUCUCCCACGAUCCGAUCCAUCUUUUCCUAGCCUCCAUUAUUUUCUUCCACCCAUUCUUUUCUUCCAUCUCGUACAUCGUCGUCUCCCUCCCCUCCCAGCGUCAAAGCCACAGGGCAGUAGAAUUACUGUGGGUGGGUGUCGUGGAGCCGAGUAGAAGACGACGUACCAGGGGUGAAGAAGAAGAAGAAGAAGAAGAAGAAGAAGACCGCCAUUUCUACCUCCCCAACCUCCCAUCCAUCCUCCUCCUCCACCGCCAUUUUUAUACUAGUAUUUAG